UCCUGAGUGGCUUAGUCAGUUAAGCGUCUGACUUUGGCUCAGGUCAUGAUCUCAUGGUUCGUGGGUUUGAGCCCCGCAUCGUGAU
rnacentral:tRNA from 1 species